UAAUACUCAGGAAUUUCUGUCUUUCUCAUUGGUUCCUUUAUCAACGCAUGACAAAUUGUAGCCCAAAGGAAUGUUGCCCAAUGGAAAUAAGACUUUUUCCGACGGUUUUGGGCUAGGUCUUGUUACCUCGACUAUUGUCUAAGAUAGUCAGGAUAAGAAGGCUUCUCCAAACUAUUAUUACAUACCUUUGGGAGCUAUAAUUUAAAUAUAUUUUUAAACAAGAACACUUCGACCAUGUUCAAAAAGCGUUGGGCGAGAUAUUGGUUAAAUUUUUUUUAAUAAUAUGUUUCCUGAUGGUUGUGAAAAACAGUCGAUCUAGUUCUAUAAUGCAUCAUUCAUUAAAAACACAGAGAAAUGUUGUAUUUUUGGUUUAUUAUUUUCCCGGGCAAAAGUUGUAUAGAAAACAGAAUCUCUCUCAUUAUCUAACAAAUCUAGAAAUUCCUUGUAUUUUUUCUCUUUUUUUCCCGGGAGGAGGAUCCCACCAUCUAGGUUCUUAUUGCUAGAGGAUAGCAAGGUUGCUUUGUGGUGGUAUCCAAUCUUGGGUUUGUGAAGAAUUGUUCGUGCUGUCACAAAAUGUGUUCGAGGAAGAAAAUAUGUUAAUGGUCUACAAAAUUGAGGUGUAGACGAGGACCUGAUAUGCAAAACGAAGAACCUUACAUACUGGAACCCCCAGUCUUCAAUUACGUUCUUAGGGAAGACAUACCUUUGUUCCCUUCAAGCAGGCUGAAUAGCACAGGGACGUCAAGACCGAGCAAGAGGAAGUAGUCUUCGUCGGGGGACUUGGUUGAAGUAAUGCAAUUAGAGAUGCGCAUGCAGAUAGUUGUUCUAGACAAUAUUGCAACUUGGCCAACCAAAAGAGAUAAAAGAGCCUCUCAGAACUUGAGUCCAUCUCUGGAAUGACAUUGGAGGACUGUUUGGCAGUCAGACAAACAUUACUUGCGGACUACAAUAAAGUGAACACAUUCCUUGACUUCCCACCAAAUUGGAAGUACAGCUUCAGUUUGUGGGAACGACUCUCCUUCCUUCAUAGCUUCAGUUCUUCGUUGG